rnacentral:rRNA from 1 species
CAAGGAAUUUUCCCCAAUGGGCGCAAGCCUGGGGGAGCAACGCCGCGUGGAGGACGACGGCCUUCGGGUUGUAAACUCCUUUUGGGGGGGACGAUGAUGACGGUACCCCCCGAAUCAGCCCCGGCUAACUCUGUGCCAGCAGCCGCGGUAAGACAGAGGGGGCAAGCGUUGUCCGGACUGACUGGGCGUAAAGCGCGCGCAGGCGGUCUGAGGCGUCGGUGCUGAAAGUCCACCGCUUAACGGUGGGAAGCGCGCCGAUACGCUCAGACUGGAGGACGGGCGAGGGUGGUGGAAUUGCCGGUGUGGUGGUGAAAUGCGUAGAGAUCGGCAGGAACACCAGUGGCGAAGGCGGCCACCUAGCCCGCACCUGACGCUGAGGCGCGACAGCGUGGGGAGUGAACUGGAUUAGAUACCCAGGUAAUCCACGCCGUAAACGAUGCCGACUCGGUCUUCGUGGGGCGAAUAGCCCUGGGGGGGCCCGAGCUCACGCGCUAAGUCGGCCGCCUGGGGACUACGAGCGCAAGCUUAA